UACGGGAGGCAGCAGUGGGGAAUCUUGCACAAUGCGCGAAAGUGUGAUGCAGCAACGCCGCGUGCGGGAAGACGGCCUUCGGGUUGUAAACCGCUUUCAGUUGGGACGAAGCUUCGUUGGUUAAUAGCCACGCGGAGUGACGGUACCUUCACAAGAAGCCCCGGCUAACUAC
rnacentral:rRNA from 1 species